GACGAACGCUGGCGGCGUGCUUAACACAUGCAAGUCGAACGGAAAGGCCCUGCUUUUGUGGGGUGCUCGAGUGGCGAACGGGUGAGUAACACGUGAGUAACCUGCCCUUGACUUUGGGAUAACUUCAGGAAACUGGGGCUAAUACCGGAUAGGAGCUCCUGCUGCAUGGUGGGGGUUGGAAAGUUUCGGCGGUUGGGGAUGGACUCGCGGCUUAUCAGCUUGUUGGUGGGGUAGUGGCUUACCAAGGCUUUGACGGGUAGCCGGCCUGGGAGGGUGACCGGCCACAUAGGGCUAGAGGGAGGGCCGGGCCUCCAACGGGGGGCAGGGGGGGGGAAUAUAGAACAAGGGGGGGAGGCCGGAUGGAGCAACGCCUGGGGCGGGAUGGCGGCCUGCGGGUUGGAAACAGCUUUCGCUUGUAAGGAAGGGGGAGGACCGUAAAGGGAGAAAAAGCCCCGGGUAAAUUAGGG
rnacentral:rRNA from 1 species